ACUUAAGAGCCGAAGCCACUUACCGAGAAGACUUCUAUCUCUAAGGCUGAACUCUCAACCCCUCACCGUUGAAAUGGAGAAUAUUUUCAGGAUUGCCUUUUGGACUAUCGCUCUGUCUUGGAUGGUGCUGGCUGUACCAAUCACCCACUCAGACGUCAUUAAACCGGAAGCACUCCUCCGUCAGAAUGUCUUCUGUCCAGCUAAUAUGAGCUUCUAUACACCAUCAAUGAACAAUCACUGUAUGAAGGCCUCGCUGCAGUGCGUGAUCUCAGGGCUCACCGCCAUGAUCCCAGAGCACACCACCAUGAUCCCAGAGCUCACCACCAAAGACCGGUGUGAAGAUGACAAAGCUAAGAUCGAACAGGUUCUGGAUGACCUGGAGAACUAUAAGGAUAGACUGCCGACCCCGUCCAACGCCACCGCGUGCGUGUGCGCGGCCGGCGCUUCUUGGAACGACUUCCUGGGCAACCUGACGAGCCUGCUGCAGAUGUACAACACCAUGCAAAGGACGGCCGGCGACGCCACCAAGGGCUAAAAGACCAAGAGGCGGCCAUCAGCAGGGGUUGUUAUGACUACAAAAUCACUUGCCAUUCGAUUAAUUUAUUUUAUUUAAGAGUGUGUGUACCAAGACGAUACUGCUACAUGACCACAGGCCGACAGUAGGACACGUUUGUCUUGUUCUGAUGCUGCCUCCUCAACAUGGUCUUUAUACAUAUAUCUAUGUAUUGAUAUAUACUUUAUGUAUGUAUUUUGUGCCCUUAUUUUAUUUACUAUAUCACUAUUAAAUUAUUAUUAUUUAUUAGCUUGAACCCUAAUGGAAAAAAAUGUUUCUCAUCCAAUGUAAGGUCUUGUAAAGCUCCAAACACAAUGUUUAAUAUUACGAACUGUUAUAAUUAUUACUAUUUAAUAACUUGUUUGAACCGGUGCUCUGAUAAUUUAAGGCAGCAUAAUAAAAUGUGAUGAAAACCAGAUGUGAUCACAGGUGCUUAUUCUGACCCAUACAAUUAAUAAUGUUUAAAAAAAAGUUAACGUUUGUCAUUUCCCUAUUCUAUUCAACCUUUGAAUAGAAUAUAAUUGAAUCGAGAGAGACCGACAUUGUCCUCCGACCGGUGGUGACAGGGGUCUCAGGCUCAGAGGAGCAGUAUGUGGGUGGGGAAAAUCUGGGGAGGGGUAAGGACCCCCUAAUGAACACAGGGGACAUUCUUCAGUCUAGUCUGAGAAAAAAUUAAUCAUCAGUGACAUGGUCCACAAGAAAACCACAAACCCUCCCUCCUGCCCACACAC
rnacentral:lncRNA from 1 species